rnacentral:snRNA from 1 species
CACUUUGCAUAGUGGCAGUAUCAUAGCCAGUGAGGUUUAUCCGAGGUGCGAUUAUUGCUAAUUGAAAACUUUUCCCAAUACCCCGCCAUGACGACUUGAAAUAUAGUUGGCAUUGACAAUUUUUGACAGUCUCUAUGGAUA